UGGUUGGAAGAUCUAAUACCUGAUCAGUAAAAAGAAGUACACAGGACCUACUCCUUCAUGCCAAUACUCACUAGAUCACAGAGAUUUCCUUAAUACUUUUACCCUAGCUGAAGGAAAAUGUAGAGGUCAAUGUUUUCUAAGACCUCCAUGGAAGAUAGGCAUUUAGGAUACUACAGAGAAGCCGAAUCCCGGAGCUAUGUCCGAAAAGCAAAGCCCCAAGACCUCUGAAGCAGAAUGCAGUGCAAUGGACUUGCCAGAAUUCGAGGAUGAAGAAAACUGGCUUUUCAAAGUUCUGGGAUUCCAGCCUGGGCCGUCCUCUGCUCUGGAUGAUGACACCGACGAUCAGGCAGAUGAGCCACUGAGCGCUGCCGAAUUUCCUCACCUGCAAGAUAUUCUUCAGGAGGACAGAGUCAGCAGUACCGAUGAUGAGGACACUUGCCAAGCUA
rnacentral:sRNA from 1 species